rnacentral:rRNA from 1 species
AGAGUUUGAUCCUGGCUCAGGAUGAACGCUGGCGGCGUGCCUAAUACAUGCAAGUCGAGCGAACGGACGAGAAGCUUGCUUCUCUGAUGUUAGCGGCGGACGGGUGAGUAACACGUGGAUAACCUACCUAUAAGACUGGGAUAACUUCGGGAAACCGGAGCUAAUACCGGAUAAUAUUUUGAACCGCAUGGUUCAAAAGUGAAAGACGGUCUUGCUGUCACUUAUAGAUGGAUCCGCGCUGCAUUAGCUAGUUGGUAAGGUAACGGCUUACCAAGGCAACGAUGCAUAGCCGACCUGAGAGGGUGAUCGGCCACACUGGAACUGAGACACGGUCCAGACUCCUACGGGAGGCAGCAGUAGGGAAUCUUCCGCAAUGGGCGAAAGCCUGACGGAGCAACGCCGCGUGAGUGAUGAAGGUCUUCGGAUCGUAAAACUCUGUUAUUAGGGAAGAACAUAUGUGUAAGUAACUGUGCACAUCUUGACGGUACCUAAUCAGAAAGCCACGGCUAACUACGUGCCAGCAGCCGCGGUAAUACGUAGGUGGCAAGCGUUAUCCGGAAUUAUUGGGCGUAAAGCGCGCGUAGGCGGUUUUUUAAGUCUGAUGUGAAAGCCCACGGCUCAACCGUGGAGGGUCAUUGGAAACUGGAAAACUUGAGUGCAGAAGAGGAAAGUGGAAUUCCAUGUGUAGCGGUGAAAUGCGCAGAGAUAUGGAGGAACACCAGUGGCGAAGGCGACUUUCUGGUCUGUAACUGACGCUGAUGUGCGAAAGCGUGGGGAUCAAACAGGAUUAGAUACCCUGGUAGUCCACGCCGUAAACGAUGAGUGCUAAGUGUUAGGGGGUUUCCGCCCCUUAGUGCUGCAGCUAACGCAUUAAGCACUCCGCCUGGGGAGUACGACCGCAAGGUUGAAACUCAAAGGAAUUGACGGGGACCCGCACAAGCGGUGGAGCAUGUGGUUUAAUUCGAAGCAACGCGAAGAACCUUACCAAAUCUUGACAUCCUUUGACAACUCUAGAGAUAGAGCCUUCCCCUUCGGGGGACAAAGUGACAGGUGGUGCAUGGUUGUCGUCAGCUCGUGUCGUGAGAUGUUGGGUUAAGUCCCGCAACGAGCGCAACCCUUAAGCUUAGUUGCCAUCAUUAAGUUGGGCACUCUAAGUUGACUGCCGGUGACAAACCGGAGGAAGGUGGGGAUGACGUCAAAUCAUCAUGCCCCUUAUGAUUUGGGCUACACACGUGCUACAAUGGACAAUACAAAGGGCAG